rnacentral:rRNA from 1 species
GACGAACGCUGGCGGUGUGCUUCACACAUGCAAGUCGAACGAGGUAGCAAUACCUAGUGGCGGACGGGUGAGUAACGCGUGGGAAUCUGCCUUUAGAUGGGGGAUAACGGGCCGAAAGGUCCGCUAAUACCGCAUAUGCCGCAAGGUGAAAGGAGUAAUCCGUCUAAAGAUGAGCCCGCGUCCGAUUAGCUAGUUGGUAGAGUAAGAGCCUACCAAGGCGACGAUCGGUAGCUGGUCUGAGAGGACGAUCAGCCACAAUGGGACUGAGACACGGCCCAUACGCCUACGGGAGGCAGCAGUGGGGAAUUUUACGCAAUGGGGGAAACCCUGACGUAGCGACACCGCGUGAGCGAAGAAGCCCUUUGGGGUGUAAAGCUCUGUCAGCUGGAACGAAAACAAUGACGGUACCAGCAGAGGAAGCAUCGGCUAACUACGUGCCAGCCGCCGCAGUAA